rnacentral:rRNA from 1 species
GCCUAACACAUGCAAGUCGAACGGGACUUAAUGGAAAGCGGCUUCGGCCAAUGGAAGUUAAGUUUAGUGGCGAACGGGUGAGUAACGCGUGAGAAACCUGCCUCUCAGUGGGGGACAACAGUUGGAAACGACUGCUAAUACCGCAUAACACUUUAGUAUCGCAUGAUACAGAAGUCAAAGCUUAAUGUGCUGAGAGAUGGUGUCGCGUCUGAUUAGCUAGAUGGCGGGGUAACGGCCCACGAUGGCGGCGAUCAGUGGCCGGUCUGCGAGGAUGAACGGCCACAUUGGGACUGGGUGACGGCCCAGACACCUACGGGAGGAAGCAGUGGGGAAUAUUGGGCAAUGGGGGAAGCCCUGACCCAGCAACGCCGCGUGAAGGAAGAAGGUUUUCGGGUUGUAAACUUCUUUUACCAGGGACGAAGAACGUGACGGUACCUGGAGAAAAAGCAACGGCUAACUACGUGCCAGCCGCCGCGGUAAUAC